rnacentral:rRNA from 1 species
UACGGAGGGUGCGAGCGUUGUCCGGAAUCACUGGGCGUAAAGGGCGCGUAGGCGGCCGUUCAAGGGCGCGGUGAAAGCCCGGGGCUCAACCCCGGGUCGGCCGUGUCGACUGGAGGGCUCGAGCUCUGUAGGGGCGGGUGGAAUUCCGGGUGUAGCGGUGGAAUGCGUAGAGAUCCGGAAGAACACCGGUGGCGAAGGCGGGUUGCUGGGCCGACACUGACGCUGAGGCGCGAAAGCCAGGUGAGCAAACGGG